UACAGAGGUCUCAAGCGUUGUUCGGAUUCAUUGGGCGUAAAGGGUGCGUAGGCGGCGCGGUAAGUCGGGUGUGAAAUCUUGGAGCUUAACUCCGAAACUGCAUUCGAUACUGCCGUGCUUGAGGACUGGAGAGGAGACUGGAAUUUACGGUGUAGCGGUGAAAUGCGUAGAUAUCGGGAGAACACCUAGUGGCGAAGGCAGCUCGCUGGACGUUACUGACGCUGAGACGCGAAGCGUGGGGAGCAAACAGG
rnacentral:rRNA from 1 species